UCUCAUUCUUCUCGACUUAAUCACCCUGACAAUAUUGGGGGAGGAAUAUAAAUUUUGAAGUUCAUUAUGCAGUUUUCUCCAGACCCCAUCGUCUGCUCUCCUAGGCCCAAAUAUCCUCCCUUAGAGUGAGAGACCACGUUUUGAACCGAUGCAAGACAACUGGCAGAAUUAUUGUUUCGUAUAUUAUAAUCUUCAGGUUCUUAGAAAUCAGUCGUGAAGACAAAAUAUUUUGAACUGAGCAGUAGCAGGCAUUUUCGGAAUUUAGCCUCCCCCUAAUUCCGUCGUGAAUAAAUUUUGAUUUGUUAUUGUUGUUUCAUUGUUCCGUAAACCCGCGUACUAUAUAGUAACAGUAUCAGAACUUUAACCUGAUUUUCGACCACUUUCUAGGUCACUGACAAUUUACUCUGGCCGAUUAAACGCACGACGUCGCUUUCAUUGCUGUCGUAAACCACGUGCACUCUUAGCUUCGUGUUGUUGAUGUUGUGUCCGUGCUAUGAAUGCUUUCAUGGAAUAUUGUGACGUAUUCGAGUGUGGUGACCAAAGAACGUAGAAGGGAAAAUCAAGGUAAUGCAUCGUGGAGAUGUUCUUUGUAUGUCGACUGUUGAACGUUUGAAUACAGUCUCGCGAAUAAUGGUAUACGUUAUAAGUGUGCGCAUAGUGUGGACAAUGGAGUGCUGACAAGAAUAGGGGUUCUCUCUGCGUUUCUGAUAAUGUCAUCUCUGGUCGCGACGACGAUGGCGCCAUCAUUCUACUUCGUGUGUUUGGGAUUGUUUGACUAAGAUAUUUUGUUGUGACUUCUGCUUCUGUUUUGUAGCGUGAUUAUUAAUCUUUUCUGUAUUUGUUAAGAAAUAAUUGGCUAAGAGCUUAAUAUUUUUUAUUACAUUAUCAUUUAUCUUUAUUAAAGAGGUCAAUAUUUCUGUAGAAUAUUUCCCUGAUUUAUUUCUUUCAUGUUUUCCAGACUGCUUUUAUUUUGUUGGUCUGCUCGAGGCUGUUUAGUCUGGUUGUCACAUUUAAUCUGAUUUAGACCUCGAGCAAGUAAGUAUGUUAUAAUAUUUCUUGCAGUGAAUUUUCAUUACUUGGUUGUUGCACUAUUGACAAAUUAGGUAAUCUUUUUUUAUCUUUGUGAUCCAAUCAUUCUUUUCAGAUAUUUUAUCACUGUUUUGAUGGUGAAACUUGCUUAUACAUUUUUAAGAGAUUAUUUAGGAAUAUGUUGAAUUUUUAAUCUACAUCAAGGCUGUUUAAUACUGAGUGCACAUUUUCAUUGGAUGUGUUAUACAUUCUUUAAUAGUGUCUUCAUUUCUGAGUCUGAUUGAUAUUCUAUACUUACGAUAACUGGAGAUCGACUUUUUUAUUAUUAAUAUUACUAGAAGUUGUACAUCGUGAUCAGAUGGAGUAAUUUUGAAUUUUUAUGGGGAAAUUAACUAUUGCCAUGACAUUGAAAGAUGCUAGUCGGGCAUUUUACACAUUUUUAUGCAAUGGAAGCUGGUCCUUCUUCAAAGAGGUUGAGGCAGGAGGAAAUGGCUGCAUGUGCCAGCAGCACGUCUGAAG